rnacentral:lncRNA from 1 species
GAAAUUGUGUUGACACAGUCUCCAGCCACCCUGUCUUUGUCUCCAGGGGAAAGAGCCACCCUCUCCUGCAGGGCCAGUCAGAGUGUUAGCAGCUACUUAGCCUGGUACCAACAGAAACCUGGCCAGGCUCCCAGGCUCCUCAUCUAUGAUGCAUCCAACAGGGCCACUGGCAUCCCAGCCAGGUUCAGUGGCAGUGGGUCUGGGACAGACUUCACUCUCACCAUCAGCAGCCUAGAGCCUGAAGAUUUUGCAGUUUAUUACUGUCAGCAGCGUAGCAACUGGUGUGAUUCACUUUCGGCCCUGGGACCAAAGUGGAUAUCAAACGUAAGUACAUCUGUCUCAAUUA